UUCGGCGGCGGCGGCAGCUCCCGCCGCUCAGAAGAAAGAGACUGGAGGCAGGCAGGGAGGAGGAAGGCGGCACCGGGGCGGUUACCUGAUCAGAGCCGCGACCCUCAUGCUGGGCGCAGUGCGCAUGCGUGCGGCGCUCGCGGGCCGCCGCCUCCGUGACGUGCGCAGGUCCUCGCCCGGGUGUUCGUUCCGCCGCCUGUCAGGCGACCGGUGCUGCGGCCCCUGCGGCCGCCCACGGGGCACCUGGACGCGGAGUACGCGCCACGUUGGUGCCUAGUCCCUGAGGCAGGGAUGUCCCGGCCCGGAAAAGAACGCUGUUUAGGCGCUGCCUAACCACCUAAGUGAGGGCACUGAAGCUGACUGGGGAAGGGCAGGGCCCGCGUCGCCGCGCUCGCGCUCGGAGCCCUGGAUUUGUUUGGGUUAGCAGAGAUUACAAAAGAGCCAAAACUGGUGAGGAUAGAGACCAAUGCUGGCAGGAAUACAGGGAAAGGGAAAAUCUCAUGCUCAGUUGCCGGAGAAAUAAGAAGAGGGAGGCAUAAAGAGGGUUAGAAACUUGCCCUAAUUCCGUUAGCUCAAAAGUGGAAGAGCUGGGAUUCAAAUCCAGAGAAGUGUCCACUUCAGACUCAUAUCAAAACCCUACCAGGGAGUGGCAAGUGAAAACACGCUCAGGGCUCCCACUGAUUCUGCAUUAUG